GGGUGAACUCAGCCUGUGACUAUUAUUGCAGACAGCUCAGCUGAAGAACGUGACUGACACUUCACCAGGUGACUGUCAUCUCCACAUCCUUCAGCAGGUCAGGGAGGACCAUUUUCUCUCCUCCACUGCUCUGCUCCUGUGGAUGCUGAAGACGAGAGGUCAGGCAGCAACAGCAGAAUUUAUGAGAAAUCGAGAGGCAGGAUUUUCUGAAGAAAGAAGCGUGAAGACCAGAAGCCAUCUGCUUCUGUGGUGGGGAUGGACACAGGUUCUUGUGGCAGAGGGGAGUAUGGACAGUACAGCAGAUCUGGGGCUCUAUUUUUAUGCAAAGAAAAAUGGAUGUUUUAACUCUCCUUCACUGUGCCUUGUCCCACUCCACUAUUGCAAAUGCUGACAGGUAAAUGGAGAAAAACAACAGUGAGUUUGAAUCUUCACUUUUUGGUAUCAUUCAGUGCUAUCAGUUAAACCACUUUUGUCUGAUGAUUGCAGCUGCAGAUGCUUUUACAGUUUCCAUUUACAUUUACCUUUAAUGGGUAUCUUGUCUGAUAGGGUCCCAGUGGCUGUGAAUGACAUAUUUGAGCUUCUUGUGUUAAAAAGGAUCAAAGACAGAAAAAACCAACAGCAGGGACACACAUCUAGGACAGGACAGAGGUUACACCAGCAACUGUAUUAGGCCAAGCUGUAAGGAGAUGUAAGAGGACAAAGUCAGUCCUUGGACACAACAAUCACUGUGGAGUCAAAUAAGGCCCAUGUCAGAGACAUUUGCUGAAUGUGACUGCCAUCCUGGGAAUCACCUCAUCUUAAAUCCAUCUCCCAGAGUUAAGCUUUGGUAUUGUCAGACUGAUCACCAGAUAUGUGUGCAUUGUACUACCAGGCCCUCUUUGUGCUGCCUAUGAAAUAACAGCAGGUUGUGUUCCCUCCUAAGGGGGGAGGAUUUUGAAUUAGUUCGACUUGUCAGGGCUGGAUUAUUGCAAUUCUUUGUUUGCAGGAGUUAGCAACCAUGUUAUCUCUGGAAUGCAGCUGAUACAGGAUGCAGCAGCUCGCAGUCUUUUGGACACAGUCGUUUCAACAUAGUACUCCCUUUCUAAAAUCUCUGCUGGCUUCUGGUGAAAUUUUGUGUCAAGAUCAAAGUCCUGCAACUAGUACAGGCUAUGUUGGAUGUUAAACUGGUUCCCUUUGCUGGUAGCAUGUUCUUUGCUGCUCAGCAAGAUCUUAAUUAUUGUAAAGGCACAUGGAAGGAGAGAGCCUCUGCUCCAUGAGGGAUGUAUUGCCAAAGGCCUUCCUAAUGCAAAAGGGGAUCGCAGAAAAAGGAGAAAACCACAAGCAAGAAGGCACAAGGGUGCAAACCUAAACAACAACUGAUACAUGAGGCAGUGAUGGGAGUCAGUCACACUGACAGAUAAGGAUUUUGGAUAUAAUAAGGUUAAUUUUGGUAAAACUAUCUGAUCCAAGACCUUGUCAAUAGGAUGAUAAAGACAAGAGAGAAGCCAUAAACCAAACAGAGACUCAAACCUGGCAGACAACUGCAAUGGAAAAAAGGACAAGAAACUAACCUGGAUAUGAGCAGCCAGCAAGACAGCCUGCUUAGAAAGGGAAAAUUGCUAAACAGAAGUAAUUAUCUGCUGAGAAAAUACUGACAGAAAAGGCUUUCCAGCCUGGAGGCAUGCGUCUGGGAACAAGAAAAAGCCUUGAUAAGACCUGCUGGCCUCUUGGAAAGGCAGCCAGAGUACCUUCAAAUUGGAGAUAUGGAAAGGAGCCAUCCCUCCAGUCACUUCAGACUCUCGCAGUCCCUCCUCUCACCUCUGUGAGGCACUUCAGUUCCCUGUAUGUCACAUCUAUUUCUCAUGUUUGGUACUGAGCUGACAUCUAAAACUGCAACAGCUCAAGUACUGUGGGGGUAUUCAUCCAUCACUAUCUCAAAACCUCAAGAUGUCUCCUCUUGUUGUAAUUUUCUGGUUUUCCUCCUUUUUUUUUUUUUUUUUUUUUUUUUUUUUUUUUUUUUUGUUUUGUUUUGUUUUGUUU